rnacentral:misc_RNA from 1 species
AAGUCGUAACAAGGUUUCCGUAGGUGAACCUGCGGAAGGAUCAUUAACACGUAUCCAACGUUAAACCCCCCUGUGAACCUUCAGAAGUCCGUUCUCGUAACACCAGUGCGCCUCAGCAAUCCCGGUAAAUCAUUGUCGACCAGUAUUGAUUCGGGACCUCUGACAAAUGCCUUACGAUCGAGCCAGCUUCCAUGUCAUAGGGUCCUUUGAGAUCCCUUCGAAACCCCACUACUUUAUAGUUCGGGCUUGCUAAAUACACGCCCAAAAAAACGAACAACUGUUAACAAUGGAUAUCUUGGUUCUC